rnacentral:rRNA from 1 species
UCCGUAGGGUGCAAGCGUUGUCCGGAAUUAUUGGGCGUAAAGAGCUCGUAGGUGGCCUGUCGCGUCGGCUGUGAAAACUCGGGGCUCAACUCCGAGCUUGCAGUCGAUACGGGCAGGCUAGAGUUCGGCAGGGGAGACUGGAAUUCCUGGUGUAGCGGUGAAAUGCGCAGAUAUCAGGAGGAACACCGGUGGCGAAGGCGGGUCUCUGGGCCAAUACUGACACUGAGGAGCGAAAGCGUGGGGAGCGAACAGG